GGAGAGAUGGCUCAGAGGUUAAGAGCACUGACUGUUCUUCCAGAGGUCCUGAGUUCAAUUCCCAG
rnacentral:tRNA from 1 species